rnacentral:rRNA from 1 species
AGCGAAUAGAUACCCAGGUAGUCCACGCCCUAAACGAUGUCAACUGGUUGUUGGGGGAGUGAAAUCCCUUAGUAAACGAAAGCUAAACGCGUGAAGUUGACCGCCUGGGGAGUACGGUCGCAAGAUUAAAACUCAAAGGAAUUGACGGGGACCCGCACAAGCGGUGGAUGAUGUGGAUUAAUUCGAUGCAACGCGAAAAACCUUACCUACCCUUGACAUGUCCGGAAUCCUGCAGAGAUGCGGGAGUGCCCGAAAGGGAAUCGGAACACAGGUGCUGCAUGGCUGUCGUCAGCUCGUGUCGUGAGAUGUUGGGUUAAGUCCCGCAACGAGCGCAACCCUUAUCAUUAGUUGCUACGCAAGGGCACUCUAAUGAGACUGCCGGUGACAAACCGGA